CGGACUGUAGUCUGCAACCCGACUACACGAAGCCGGAAUCGCUAGUAAUCGCGAAUCAGAAUGUCGCGGUGAAUACGUUCCCGGGUCUUGUACACACCGCCCGUCACACCAUGGGAGUCGGAAAUGCCCGAAGUCAGUGACCCAACCGCAAGGAGGGAGCUGCCGAAGGCAGGUCCGGUAACUGGGGUGAAGUCGUAACAAGGUACC
rnacentral:rRNA from 1 species